UGAGGAAUAUUGGUCAAUGGGCGCAAGCCUGAACCAGCCAUCCCGCGUGAAGGAAGAAUGCGCUAUGCGUUGUAAACUUCUUUUCCAGGGGAAUAAAAUUUCGUACGUAUACGGGACUGAAGGUACCUUGGGAAUAAGCAUCGGCUAACUCCGUGCCAGCAGCCGCGGUAAUACGGAGGAUGCGAGCGUUAUCCGGAUUUAUUGGGUUGAAAGGGUGCGUAGGCGGAAAAAUAAGUCAGUGGUGAAAACCUUCAGCUUAACUGGAGACUUGCCAUUGAUACUGGUAGUCUUGAGUAUAGUUAAGGUAGGCGGAAUGUGUAAUGUAGCGGUGAAAUGCUUAGAUAUUACACAGAACACCAAUUGCGAAGGCAGCUUACUGAGCUAUAACUGACGCUGAUGCACGAAAGCGUGGGGAGCGAACA
rnacentral:rRNA from 1 species